rnacentral:tRNA from 1 species
UCUAUUAUGGCAGAUUAGUGCAAUGGAUUUAAGCCCCAUAUAUAAAAUUUUUUUUUAUUAGAA